GCUCCACCGUGAAAAGAGAGUGGCGAACGGGUGAGUAACACGUGGGUAACCUGCCCAUCAGAAGGGGAUAACACUUGGAAACAGGUGCUAAUACCGUAUAACAAUCAAAACCGCAUGGUUUUGAUUUGAAAGGCGCUUUCGGGUGUCGCUGAUGGAUGGACCCGCGGUGCAUUAGCUAGUUGGUGAGGUAACGGCUCACCAAGGCCACGAUGCAUAGCCGACCUGAGAGGGUGAUCGGCCACAUUGGGACUGAGACACGGCCCAAACUCCUACGGGAGGCAGCAGUAGGGAAUCUUCGGCAAUGGACGAAAGUCUGACCGAGCAACGCCGCGUGAGUGAAGAAGGUUUUCGGAUCGUAAAACUCUGUUGUUAGAGAAGAACAAGGAUGAGAGUAACUGUUCAUCCCUUGACGGUAUCUAACCAGAAAGCCACGGCUAACUACGUGCCAGCAGCCGCGGUAAUACGUAGGUGGCAAGCGUUGUCCGGAUUUAUUGGGCGUAAAGCGAGCGCAGGCGGUUUCUUAAGUCUGAUGUGAAAGCCCCCGGCUCAACCGGGGAGGGUCAUUGGAAACUGGGAGACUUGAGUGCAGAAGAGGAGAGUGGAAUUCCAUGUGUAGCGGUGAAAUGCGUAGAUAUAUGGAGGAACACCAGUGGCGAAGGCGGCUCUCUGGUCUGUAACUGACGCUGAGGCUCGAAAGCGUGGGGAGCAAACAGGAUUAGAUACCCUGGUAGUCCACGCCGUAAACGAUGAGUGCUAAGUGUUGGAGGGUUUCCGCCCUUCAGUGCUGCAGCUAACGCAUUAAGCACUCCGCCUGGGGAGUACGACCGCAAGGUUGAAACUCAAAGGAAUUGACGGGGGCCCGCACAAGCGGUGGAGCAUGUGGUUUAAUUCGAAGCAACGCGAAGAACCUUACCAGGUCUUGACAUCCUUUGACCACUCUAGAGAUAGAGCUUCCCCUUCGGGGGCAAAGUGACAGGUGGUGCAUGGUUGUCGUCAGCUCGUGUCGUGAGAUGUUGGGUUAAGUCCCGCAACGAGCGCAACCCUU
rnacentral:rRNA from 1 species